CCUCCGAAUACGAGAAUAAGAUCCGAUUUCCAGACCCUCUCUCUCUCUCCGAAUAUGGCAUUCCCCUCACGCAGCUUCGCCUCUACCUCCUCCCAUCAUGCAGGUUAGCCACCACCUCACUCUCCCCGCGCCGGCUGAUCGCCAAUCCCUAACGACCCAACAUCAAUUACUGCUUCCUCCCGCCUAUCUUUUAAGAGAGAGACAGUUACGGAUUAUAUAGAUUAUCGUGCAGAGGCAAAUUGUUGACUAAGUCCUAGAAUAGGGUACGACGAAUUAGAGACAACGGCUAGCAAACGGAAGCCAACACAUGUGGCCUAUGGAGAAGAAUAUUCACGGGCACAAUCUGGCAAAGAACUAUCAAAAUCAACUUUUGCGCAACGAGCAUGAUGAGAAUGAGAACGAAUUCUAAAGCAAAGCACUGCGGUCAAUGGAAAGGAAAACUCACAGUACAGAUCCUUAAGGAAUUGGUGGAGCAUUAAUUAGGGAAAAAGAAGUUUCCAAUGUCCCAAUUUCUCAUUGUUUGGUUGCAGGUGGUAGGAAAUGGAGAAAGAAAUGGUGUGGACACCAUUGAAUACGUAUGAUUAACUGGUAACACCGAAGCCGUAGAGCGGUAAAGGUCUGGCCUUGAAUACUUUUCGAGGGAUGAAAAUUUCACGGAUGGAAAGUUAGAGUUAUUUUACUGUUAAAAGCAACUUUGUUGGAGCUUUGAAGAUAGACAAAGCUUCAUAGUGAAUGUGGGUGUUUGUUAAAAAAAAAUGUAACUGUUCUCAUGCGGUUGGAAAUCUACAACUUAUGGAUUCAACUA